rnacentral:snRNA from 1 species
AUCGCUUCUAGGCCUUUUGGCUAAGAUCAAAUGUAGUAUCUGUUCUCAUCAGCUUAAUAAAAGAUGUCAUAAAGACAACACUGGGGGGAGACAUCUGAGUCUUAUCAGUAAAGCUUAAUUUCCAGGAUAUAAAUAGCUCCU